UUUCCAUCUGAUUUGUAUCAUUCAAUAAAUUUUACUUUGUUCAUUUCUCUUUCAUUUUGCUCUAAACAAGCAUGAACUAAAAUUAUGUCCGUUGAAUUUUAUAGAGGGACAAGUGGCAAUAUUAUUUUGUUAUGGGUUUAUAGAAAGUACAGCUCUGCCUUAUAAUGAAAAGACUUAUUGUAGUUGACGUCGUUUCUCCUACCAAUUAAGAUCUAACAAGCACAUAUGCAAUGCAAUAAAAAAUUCUCGUGAAAUAGACUCAAGAAAUGAAGAGUUAAAGCUCAUUUCUCUCUGCCGCACGCUCUCUUAUCAAGUGAUAUUUGGUCAACUCGAGUUAGGAGCUUUUGGUACAGGUUGAUGAUAAGUAAGAAAUUAAAUUUGAUUCCGCGACAUGAUGCAUAAUUGAUUUUUUCUUUUUGUCUUUUCAUUUUGUUUCGUGCUUCCUUUAAUUUUUAGUAACUUUUGAAAUUGCUAUAUGAGAGAUAUGAAAAAAUAUUAUCCUUGUAAAACAUUAGUUUCAAAUUCACAUAUGUACAAAUUGAAAAGAGUUUUUUCAUAUUAAUGCUUCUUAUUGAUUCUUU